ensembl:snRNA U1 U1 spliceosomal RNA
CUACCCAUCUCUAGGUGAUACCAUGAUUAAGAAGGUGGUUCACCCAGUGAGGCUCGAUCAAUGCACUCUGGCUGUCUGACCCCUGCGAAUUCCCCAAAUGCGAGAAUCUCGACUGCAUAAUUUGUGCUAGUGCGGGACUGCGUUCGCGCUCUCCCCUA